UUAACUGAAGAGUUUGAUCAUGGCUCAGAUUGAACGCUGGCGGCAGGCCUAACACAUGCAAGUCGAGCGGAAACGAUGGUAGCUUGCUACCAGGCGUCGAGCGGCGGACGGGUGAGUAACGCGUGAGAAUCUGCCCAUUUGUGGGGGAUAACUCGGGGAAACUCGAGCUAAUACCGCAUAAUCCCUACGGGGG
rnacentral:rRNA from 1 species